UGCCUGGCUUUAGUUUGUAUGGGAGCAGUUUUUUUCCCCAACUCAGAAUCAGUGAAGUGGAUCUUUCUUAACACUCAGAAUUACAUUUUAUUCAACAGAAAAUUAUCAUUUUUUAAUUGCAUGGCGUGAAACAGGAAUUAUUUUCAAAUAUAGGACAUAGCCUACUAGAACAUCUUUCAGAAUGUAAAUGGUAGCCUAAUACAACAGCCUACAACCUAUGCUAGAACUUUGCAAAGUUGAAUAGUCUUUAUUUCCGCAACGACAAUAUUACUUAAACAAUGUUUUUGAAAAUGUAUGUUUUUACUAAGCUUGUAUGCACAACCACCGUGAUAUAUAAAACUGGUUUUCCACUUGUCAGAUACAGCAGGUCAACCUCACCAUAGCACAUUUCACUGACUUUGACUUAUUAAAGUGUGAAGUAUGUUUAAAAUGUUGCUUAAAAUACGCUUAUUUGAAAGAAAAUGCCCCUAUUCCAAGACCACGCAGCUGAUUUCUUUAAAAGAUAGACAGGAACAUGGGCAGGAUGUUUAUACAGCAAAAUGUAAACAUUUUCCCUGGCCUUCUUUAAAUAAAAAAUCAAGCAAAAAGCCCCGCUAGAUCAGCUCAUACUCAAUCUGAUGCAUUAUGUCCGUUUUAGACAGCUCCUUGUGUAUGGAUAGGACUUUUCAACGUAAAUGCAGAAAGAGAUUUCAAUCAUGUAUAAUUAUUAUGUUCACACAGGAGAACUGAGGGAAAGAGCUCUGAGCCCAGCCGAACAUUGAGCACUGAAACUCGGCUGAGGACUUUAGAUCGACGCCCACCAAACACUCUCCUCAGAAUGGUGCUCGAGUCAAGCCCUUUGUGAUGGAUGAGAGAGAGAGGGUUUUCCAGUGAUGGCAACAGUUCCUAUGACGACCAGACCUCCACCGGGGGAUUGCGUCUGUCAGACAGUGCUAAUGAUAAUUGAGAGGUACGGAUCGAAAAGAUUGAGUAUGGCUGUAAUCUCUCCUCCAGCGGAAUACCAGAGAAACCGCUAUGAGAUGACCAUUUUCCCCUCUCACCACCGCCCUGCUUAGUCCUGCACUGUUCUACACUGCAUGCUUCUACUCUGCUCUAUACUAUAUUGCUACUGGAGGCCUCCCAGCCUGCCCCACACAGGGCAGAGAGUGAAUGGGUAAUGUCACUGUGUGUGCAACCUCCUUCGGUGUCUUCCUUCCCUCAGCCUCACACACAACACAGGGCCAGUCCAGGGCAGUUUGUUUCAGAUGCCAGGGAAUAUAUCAACAGGGAGAACUCAAUCAGAAGAAACGGUCAGAGUAGGACAUAACAGAGAGAGGGAGGGAAGUCAGACCACAGCCAGCUCUGAUACAGGUUAGUUACAGAGGCUUUGAUAGUUGCUGAUGGGACUUUGAUUGGAGCGUAAGCAGGUUUAUAUGAUGCGUGUUUAUAUGCGUGUUUACUCACAGACCACCAUUUCUCUCUCUCCCAUUCUGAAGGGGGAUUUUCCUGUGUCGAGCCGCUUCGGAAAAAGCAAUUAAGAAUUCCCAAACAGUGCACAACAAUGGGAGACGUCGUUCUGCAAUGCAAGUUCCGAAUCCAAGUCAGUCCCUUACGGUUUUCCUCUGAAACGGUCCCCGGCUAUAUUUAAUCCGCCCUGAGAGCAGAACCAACCUACAUACAAACCACAAAUUGAAACUAUGUGGAGGUGGUUUGUGGGGUGUGGGCUAAGUGGGGAUGGUAAUUGUCUAUUGAGAAGCUUAGGCCUCGCUAUUCUGCCUGCCAUAAACAGGCUUGGCAGCCCACAACAUGAUACCCCUGCCUCCACUCCACUGUUUGAGUUGGGGAGCAGAUCCUCCUUGUCUGUGGGAACCCAUGGCCCAGCAGUGGUCGGAAUCAGUUAGGAAUGCUUUGGAAUGGUAACACAGCGGAAGGCUAGGGUGGGAAACAGGCCAAGAGCAUUUCCUGAACAGAGGGGGGUCCCAGAGAAGCAUCACACUUCACUGGCAUCAUAUGACAGGGAUCACAUCAGGCCUGAGCCCAUGAUCCCGAUUGGAGAAGAGGGAUGCGGUAGGGGAGAGGAGGAUGAAGCUGGAACAGAAGAGAGGUGGAUACGCAAGAAAGGCAGAGAGGCUGGAGUGGGCAGGCAUGCAGGUUUGUCCACAGGAAGCCAUGAAUUCCUCGGAGAACAGAGGGUGUCAGGGCCCAGAACACAACUUGGGGGGGGUGGGGGGGAGAGACAUACUGUACCUUGUAACGUCUCAUAAUCCUCCUAGUUGACCCCUGACCCCGGCCUGCGUUUGUAUCAGGUCAUCGACGUGAGGAAUUGUAAUGAGUCACUCUAGCAGUGUGUUUACCUCCUGGAGUCACGCAGGGAAGGAAAUAAGGCACGGUCUUCUAAAAGUGUCAAAGUGAGAGAGAAUAGCAGCAGUAUUAGAGCAGAGCCCUGAUUCAUCUCACUGUGACUGACCUCUUGUACCGUUACACUGGGUUUAUUUAACCUAUUCACUACUGUAGGGAGACUAGCUACAGAUCAGCCAAAACAGGGAGUAAGUCUACAAUAUAGCGCACUGUAUGAAAACAUAAGGUAUGAGAUUAAUAGUGUAAUUCUGUAAUUGAAGUCUGAUUCAUAGUCUGAUUCACUCAUUGAGUGAAAUGAUCCGUGUACUGUAGUAUGUAGGUACAGCUUGUUUUUGCUAUCACUGUGUAAUAUGUUGCUAAUAGUCCGAACAUGUAUUAUUUUUGUUAUAAUUUUCUGCUGACUGUGUUGCAGUCGUUCCAGUUUUUUGCUAUGCCCAAUGAAAUUAGGAGAGAUUAAGUAAUUUCCUUUCUCUGUCUCAUGCAACAAUCAUAAAUGAUGUGAUUUUUCUGUGUAUAUAAUAAUUUAUUGCAAUACAUUUCUGACUCUCCCAGAUACAGAUUAUAUUAUACACUUUAGAGGAGAAAUCGCUGCACUCCCAAAUACAUUGUUUUUUAUCUUGAACUUGAAACUGGAAUGAGUAUGGAACUGUGGCCAACGCCUGUGAUUAAAAUACAAUGUCCUGGCCUACCAUCACGCUGUAGCCUUCGACACCGUGGGCUUGUGUGAUUGCACAAUUGUUGUUUUUGAGCAAGUGCCCUUGUUAGUUUUACUCUGUAAAUAAAUAUGUGCUUCGAGCUGA